CCCUACUGCUAUUUCUCAGAUCUGCUAGGCAUUUUUUUCUCAAAUACAUAGAUCUGCUAGGGAUGAAUCAAUACAUGCAUUGAAAUUUAUUAUUGAAUAGUUGGAGCACUGCCAUAUGCAAGUUGAAACUCUAUACACAUCGAUUUCAAUGAAAUUGGAAUUGUCUCUGCUCUUGCAUUUGGUUGCAAUUGAUUUUUUCCAUGGACUAGAUGCAUGCUUGAUUUAUUAGUUUUUUUUUGCAAUGGCAGACAACUAAAAUACAAUUCCCAUGAUCUGUGUGAACUAAAAUACAACUGGAAUUUGGUGCUAGCGUAUCCUUAAUGUCUUCUCUGAUCUAUUGCUAGCUGCUGAUUGGGAGCAGAGCAGCUUGGAUUUUUCAGAAGCCGCGCUGGGUGUAGCUCACUAGAAUUGAUAUAUAUACAUGACUAGACCGGUUAAGUUUGGUAUUUGUAUACCCGUCCUAGCUGAAUUUUUUGGCUGAGUCCGCUAAUGUCUGUUCUGCUCUCUGAAAUAUUUUUUUGGCACUAAUCUUGUCUAUGCUUGAAUACUGGCUAGGGAAUUAAUAAUUUUUUGGCACUAAUCUUGUCUAUGCUUGAAUACUGGCUAGGGAAUUAAUCUAUUCAAGGUUAUUUGUUAUGACAUGAGUUGUAAAUUUGGGGCAGGUAGGCUAACAUAAUUGGUUGUUGUUAUUGCCAAUUUUUGCCCAUAGAACUGCAGUGGUGCCUUGUGGAAAGCUUGAGAUGUAGAUACUAGCUGACGUGCUUGAUGGACAUGAAUGAAUGAAUUAGUAAUGCUUGGUUCAGUUUUAACAUAACCAAUCAUUCAAAUACAUGCGACACUAACAACUAGCAAUAUAGCAUUAAAUGUUAGCAUAUAUUCUAAUGACUGGUUUUGUGGUCAUCUAAGUGAAUAAUGUAUGUAUUUUGUCUGCAGCUCACAGAAACUUGGAAUUUUAAUAAUUAGCUAGCAUAUGCUACUUAUAUAAGGGAAUCCUUUUCUUGCAGGUGAAAAGGAUCAAACUGCUUCUGUUCAGCUAGAUUAGGUAAAAGAUGGACGGUGGGCAAGCCAGUGGGUGAGGAAGUGCGCUCGGCAGCGAAGCAUCAAUCAGGGACAUCGUCAAACCAUGUCGGAGGGUCGAAGGCAUCGCGCGCCGGGCCAUCCCCACCUGGACCGUUGCCGGGAUCGCACAUUGGGGCGUCCCAACCCUCGCCGGCAUCGCACAGUGGACUGUCGCCGUGAGCCGUCUUCGGAGUCGUUUUUAUGUAUUGAACUUGUCUUGGAAUAAUGUGUACUUUUGAACAUGCAGUUUGUAAUAUAAUGUGAAUUUUGUACAAAUUUGAUCGUUUGUGAUAUAUAAAUGUGGUUUGUGAUA